rnacentral:rRNA from 1 species
UUAAGCGACUAAGCGUACACGGUGGAUGCCCUGGCAGUCAGAGGCGAUGAAGGACGUGCUAAUCUGCGAUAAGCGCCGGUAAGGUGAUAUGAACCGUUAUAACCGGCGAUUUCCGAAUGGGGAAACCCAGUGUGACUCGUCACACUAUCAUUAACUGAAUCCAUAGGUUAAUGAGGCGAACCGGGGGAACUGAAACAUCUAAGUACCCCGAGGAAAAGAAAUCAACCGAGAUUCCCCCAGUAGCGGCGAGCGAACGGGGAGGAGCCCAGAGCCUGAAUCAGCAUGUGUGUUAGUGGAAGCGUCUGGAAAGGCGCGCGAUACAGGGUGACAGCCCCGUACACAAAAGCGCAUGUGCUGUGAGCUCGAUGAGUAGGGCGGGACACGUGGUAUCCUGUCUGAAUAUGGGGGGACCAUCCUCCAAGGCUAAAUACUCCUGACUGACCGAUAGUGAACCAGUACCGUGAGGGAAAGGCGAAAAGAACCCCGGCGAGGGGAGUGAAAAAGAACCUGAAACCGUGUACGUACAAGCAGUGGGAGCACAGGUUUACCUGUGUGACUGCGUACCUUUUGUAUAAUGGGUCAGCGACUUAUAUUCUGUAGCAAGGUUAACCGAAUAGGGGAGCCGUAGGGAAACCGAGUCUUAAUUGGGCGUUAAGUUGCAGGGUAUAGACCCGAAACCCGGUGAUCUAGCCAUGGGCAGGUUGAAGGUUGGGUAACACUAACUGGAGGACCGAACCGACUAAUGUUGAAAAAUUAGCGGAUGACCUGUGGCUGGGGGUGAAAGGCCAAUCAAACCGGGAGAUAGCUGGUUCUCCCCGAAAGCUAUUUAGGUAGCGCCUCGUGAAUUCAUCUCCGGGGGUAGAGCACUGUUUCGGCUAGGGGGCCAUCCCGGCUUACCAACCCGAUGCAAACUGCGAAUACCGGAGAAUGUUAUCACGGGAGACACACGGCGGGUGCUAACGUCCGUCGUGAAGAGGGAAACAACCCAGACCGCCAGCUAAGGUCCCAAAGUCAUGGUUAAGUGGGAAACGAUGUGGGAAGGCCCAGACAGCCAGGAUGUUGGCUUAGAAGCAGCCAUCAUUUAAAGAAAGCGUAAUAGCUCACUGGUCGAGUCGGCCUGCGCGGAAGAUGUAACGGGGCUAAACCAUGCACCGAAGCUGCGGCAGCGAACGUAUCACUUAAAGCGAUUCAGCGGGUUACGAUUGACGGAGCGAAGCGACGUCAAAGCGUAUACAAAGUCGAGUCGGUUUAAGGAUACGUUCGUUGGGUAGGGGAGCGUUCUGUAAGCCUGUGAAGGUGGCCUGUGAGGGUUGCUGGAGGUAUCAGAAGUGCGAAUGCUGACAUAAGUAACGAUAAAGCGGGUGAAAAGCCCGCUCGCCGGAAGACCAAGGGUUCCUGUCCAACGUUAAUCGGGGCAGGGUGAGUCGACCCCUAAGGCGAGGCCGAAAGGCGUAGUCGAUGGGAAACGGGUUAAUAUUCCCGUACUUGGUGUUACUGCGAAGGGGGGACGGAGAAGGCUAUGUUGGCCGGGCGACGGUUGUCCCGGUUUAAGCGUGUAGGCUGGUUUUCCAGGCAAAUCCGGAAAAUCAAGGCUGAGGCGUGACGACGAGGCACUACGGUGCUGAAGCAACAAAUGCCCUGCUUCCAGGAAAAGCCUCUAAGCAUCAGGUAACAUCAAAUCGUACCCCAAACCGACACAGGUGGUCAGGUAGAGAAUACCAAGGCGCUUGAGAGAACUCGGGUGAAGGAACUAGGCAAAAUGGUGCCGUAACUUCGGGAGAAGGCACGCUGACAUGUAGGUGAAGUGAUUUACUCAUGGAGCUGAAGUCAGUCGAAGAUACCAGCUGGCUGCAACUGUUUAUUAAAAACACAGCACUGUGCAAACACGAAAGUGGACGUAUACGGUGUGACGCCUGCCCGGUGCCGGAAGGUUAAUUGAUGGGGUCAGCGCAAGCGAAGCUCCUGAUCGAAGCCCCGGUAAACGGCGGCCGUAACUAUAACGGUCCUAAGGUAGCGAAAUUCCUUGUCGGGUAAGUUCCGACCUGCACGAAUGGCGUAAUGAUGGCCAGGCUGUCUCCACCCGAGACUCAGUGAAAUUGAACUCGCUGUGAAGAUGCAGUGUACCCGCGGCAAGACGGAAAGACCCCGUGAACCUUUACUAUAGCUUGACACUGAACAUUGAGCCUUGAUGUGUAGGAUAGGUGGGAGGCUUUGAAGCGUGGACGCCAGUCUGCGUGGAGCCGACCUUGAAAUACCACCCUUUAAUGUUUGAUGUUCUAACGUGGACCCGUAAUCCGGGUUGCGGACAGUGUCUGGUGGGUAGUUUGACUGGGGCGGUCUCCUCCUAAAGAGUAACGGAGGAGCACGAAGGUUGGCUAAUCCUGGUCGGACAUCAGGAGGUUAGUGCAAUGGCAUAAGCCAGCUUGACUGCGAGCGUGACGGCGCGAGCAGGUGCGAAAGCAGGUCAUAGUGAUCCGGUGGUUCUGAAUGGAAGGGCCAUCGCUCAACGGAUAAAAGGUACUCCGGGGAUAACAGGCUGAUACCGCCCAAGAGUUCAUAUCGACGGCGGUGUUUGGCACCUCGAUGUCGGCUCAUCACAUCCUGGGGCUGAAGUAGGUCCCAAGGGUAUGGCUGUUCGCCAUUUAAAGUGGUACGCGAGCUGGGUUUAGAACGUCGUGAGACAGUUCGGUCCCUAUCUGCCGUGGGCGCUGGAGAACUGAGGGGGGCUGCUCCUAGUACGAGAGGACCGGAGUGGACGCAUCACUGGUGUUCGGGUUGUCAUGCCAAUGGCACUGCCCGGUAGCUAAAUGCGGAAGAGAUAAGUGCUGAAAGCAUCUAAGCACGAAACUUGCCCCGAGAUGAGUUCUCCCUGAGACUUAGAGUCUCCUGAAGGAACGUUGAAGACGACGACGUUGAUAGGCCGGGUGUGUAAGCGCAGCGAUGCGUUGAGCUAACCGGUACUAAUGAACCGUGAGGCUUAACCUU